UCAUCAAAGUCGCUUGAUAUCGCAGGUGUCUCUGAAUAACGAAAGCAUCGUGGACAAUCAUCGUUGAAGAUGGUCAAGAUCCUUCCAAGUUCUUGAACGAACUCGUAUCCUCAAAAUCAGGAUCGUUAAAAUAUUAUUGAGAUCAGCUUGAGGUGCUCGCCGCGGAAGACAUCAUCGCACGCACGCAGAUUAAAUAUCGUGGGAGGUACGAGUGGCUCGAUUCGCGCGACCGGCAAGCAUCGCUGCGCUUUUCAAUGAACGAACGUGACUCAUGCUCCACCGCGACCGCGUAAAUAUUUAUCGCGAAUAAUGCAACCGCGUGGGAGGAGGCUGUAUCUUGCGCGCGGGCCAAACUUUGCCUCUCUCUCUCUCUCUCUCUCUCUCUAUCUCUUUCCGCUCUCUCGCCGACUCCUCUGACCCUGAGGGACAUUCUUGGCAUGACGCGUAAGAUCUGUCCCGACGAGGAACGAGGAGAGCCAAACGACGACGGCCAGAGACUAGAGACAACGGGUAGAGAAAAGCUUAGGCUGGUGAGCCACGGGGUUUUGAGCACGAAGUUUACACAUUGUCAUUUGGGACACGGCGCGACGAAGACGGAAAACAACGAAGAACGGCGACACUGUACGAAGGAAGCGAGAAGCUUCGCUGUUGGGCUAAGGAUGGAACGAAAGGAGAGGUUCGGAUCGGUAAGAGGGACAAGGUGGAAGCACAAAGCGGAAGAAAGAAAGAGCGUGAAAGAGAGGAAAGGGAGAAGAAGGAAAAGAGGGAGAAUUUUAGAGAGGGUUAAACGGAGAGAGAAAGGACGACCGAGGGAGAGAAUGGCAAAGACGGAGAAAGGGUAACGGAGUCCUUGGUGGACCACUAGGAUCCAUCCCCACGUAGCUGCCGUCUUCCGUGCAGGGGUUGCUCCGGUGGAAGGGAUACUCAGGGGAAGAUUAGAGGGGUGGGGGUGCUAUAUAAGACCGGCGCAAGGGGGGGAGAGCUCAGUUCGUCCAAGAGAAGCGUAUCGGUCACGUCGUUGCCACGAUCGUUCACGAGACUCUCAUGGAACACGGGACUUGUCUCUCCACACAUACACACACACACGACGCCGUGCUCUUGUCGCCACGAGAACAACGAGACCGGACCACGCUCUAGGAUUCAAGGUGUUUUCCAGCGCAUUUUCGAAGGAAACGCAGUGCAGCUACGGUAAACGAAAUUUCACGUGCAAUCGGAGUGAAGAACUGGCAACACAAUUAUGUCUGCGGCUUCUUCAUCAACGCGAUCAGCGGACGGUGGCAUCGUUUACACCUGUACGGCUUCGAAGCUUCAUCCAUCGCUACGAAUUGCUGUUUACAGACUGACCAUUAAGUGAGACGUCGCCUGUGACAGACACUCGACUAGAGGGUAAAAUCGGUGGGUCUGUUAAAAAUCGAAGACACGGGAAUUGGAUUAGAAGAACCGGUGAAAAAGGUCGCGCGGUCGUUUAUACUCUCCCGAACCCUGUCGAGUGAAGCUUAACCUGAAAUAACAUCUGGUUGUUGUCAAGUGCUCUUCCUGCUCCAGUCGAUUCAUCUUCGAUAAGUUACAAGAUCCAGAAAACAGCUGGCCCGAGAGCGAAGGUCGCCGGCCAUGGAAUAUAAUUAGUCCGCACCACUUAUGGAACGUCAGGCCAACUAUGGGUACACUGUACGCUGAAACGCUCACGCUAGUCGUCACGAGAUCUACUUGGAAAUCGGCCUUUGUCCAACACGUGUGUCCACGGACAGCUUUAUUUCCUUCUUAAAGCGACUCCUUCGUUCUACCAUCUGGACCAUAUGCCACGAAAGGAACGUCAGGAAAUGACCUGCGCAUUGAUGGUCAGUAUCGGCAAAUCUUUCAAUGGUAACCAACUAUUUUUUCAGGAACGUUCCAUGGACUUUUCCUCUAUUCCUUUAGAGGAUCCUUAGCGGGUCGAUUGUUCGACGAAGCCUUGGACGAGCCUUUGGAUUUUCCAAACAGCAGAUAACCGAUGCCAGAGUGCAUAGUAUAUUACGACAGCUGUAAUUGCCGGUGUAUUAGCCAUUGCAAAUGUGGAACGUGCCAACCACAAGGUUUCCCUCGUAAACCUGGGGGAAGAAGAUCGUCCAAUUAACUGUCUUGUUUAAUUGAAUCUUAUUUCCUUUCCGCUUGGUCCAGUUCCAUCGGGGCUUCCGCGCUUAAUCGCGCAAGCCGAACGCAAUGCCUAGAAGAACAACCACGGACAAAAGUAAUUUCAGCCUCCUCCUGGUAAAUCACGGGACGAUUUAUUGUACGAUAGAAAAGACAGAGUUAAAUGGAGCAGCAUUUUUGUCGUAGUCGUUGGUACUUGAGCCUUCGACAGCUCGCAAAUUGUCGUCGAGAGCCGCUCGAAUUUUGUGAAAACGGACCAUACCACGUUUAAAUGCCCGUCCAGACACGGGGCAUUCUUUCGAAUUUUUCAGACAAUUCGUUUUGCGGCGGAUGCCACGAGGGAGAGAACAGCAAGCAGAAACGAAGUAGCGGAGUUUCGGGAACCAAGGGGAUGCGGGGAGCAAUUCCCCGGGACGAGUCGAGGUGGAGGUGCAGGUAUUCUUUUUAAGGCGGAACACUUUACCGUUGCUCGUUCCACGCUGGUAAUGGAGAAUCUCCCAGCCACCCCAAGGAAUUAAUUCGAGGCUAACGCCGAGACACUCCCCGAUAUCGAGUCACUUCGUUCCACGGGCCAAUGUUAGUAUCUGCUUACCACCCUCUCGGUUAGCUUUUCACCGUACUUAGCCAUUUCGACUCCUUCUUUUCUCUUCUUGUUCAGCGAAACGAUUUCUAAUUUGUCCUCUAAUUUGUCCAAGAUCCUCGAAUCCGUUUUACUGGGUCACUUGAAAAAAGCAAAGAAAGAGGACAGAGAAAAAAAAAAAGAAAGGUAAAAUGUUCUCUGUAUCUUUUUCCGCCUCUUACGUCCACUGGCUGCAUCUGCGUACGUAUUCGUCGGAUAUUUGGCUGCGAUUUUUGCCAUCAAUUGUGCGCUUAAGCAGCCGUAGUAGCCCUUUAUUGCCAGGGUCGUGGUCUCCAAGAUGAAAAGCGAACUCCUGGCGAGCUUCCACCAGAAUUAAGAGACACUCGAGGCGCUUUUUAAUUAGCACGAAAGGACAUCAUCGGGAAGAGGCAGAGCUUCGGUCUAAAUACGUAAUUAAAGCCGUGAAUGGGGUAGUUACAGUAACUGCGUGAAACGUCAUCGACUGCCAGUGAAAUCGGCCGGAAAACGCACUCUUUCGGAAACGUGCUGGCGCAAUUCUUCUUCCCACGUCCUCUCAAAAACUCAUUCUCAUAACUUUAUCUAUAUUUACGCGUGAAGCUCCCUCGUCGUAAAUGCAAAUCUUUCAGAAAUUUGUUUACAUUCUCGCAUCGAGGAAGGAUCACGAUGGCAUCCCUCUUUCACGAUACAAAGCACGUGUUAUUCGCCGCUUCGCAUGUCUCUAAAAUUCUUCCAGCGUAAGUAACAUCCCUGCCCUUGAAAAAUUCGGAAAAUUCGGCAAGAAAAUCAGAAACUGCCAUUCGAAAACUUCCCCCACCGCCUAACUUUACGUACGCCUACUUUACGCGUGAAAUUUAUUUCAUAGACGCAAAUCUUCUAGAUUCUCGUACGAAGGAGAAAUCAGGAGAAGGCAGGAUUUUCUUCACGAUGCGAAGCACGUGUCGUUCGCCGCAGAAUCUGCUUCUCUCUAGAAUUCUUCGGGUAUAAUCUCUCCCCUUCUGACGAAAAUUCAGAAGAUUCCGAAGAAAAGCAAAAAAUCGAAAUUCGAAAGCCUGGUGUUUGAGUAAGUACACACAGGAUGCCUUUGAAAGCAUCUUCGGGCGCGCGAAAGAGAUGAACGAGAUCGGGGCGCGAGGUCGAGGGAGGCUGGCACAGCUUGAAAGGGAGGGGGAGAACCCGAGGGCCGAGAAAGAGAGGGAAAUUCAAAGAUGGCGCCACGCGUAUGCCCGACAGAGAUAAAGCACAAGGGUUAAAGAAAGACGUGCACUUUCGUUGGCUUCCCCUCUCACAGCGACGAAGAGUGACCGGGCCGAAAAGUCCGAAUCCGAUCGUGGAACGGCUCAGUAGUGCGCGAGACACAUUUCCCGACGCGUGUUCGUCGCUCGUAUCGAUAUCUCUCGAUGAUUCACGAGCGUUGCGGCGAGAAUACGCGGCGACCAAUCCCCAGUUCCGUUACAUCAGCAUCCGACUACGUGGGUCCUCGACGAUUGGCUCUCUCUGCACUGCGCUCGAGUAUCUCUCUCUAGCAACCAGAAAGGGAGAAAAAGAGAUGCACUCGUAUAUUUUAUACUCGCGAUUCUGGCUUAUUCUCGUACGAGAUACAGCGUGAUCUGUUCGCUGAAGAAUCGUGCGUGCUUUUCGUGUGAAACGAGAAAUUACGAGCUUUCGACGAAGAGGAAACGUUAGCGAGAAUUCAACCAACAGCCGAGCGACAGAGAAAGGGAAGAGAGGGAGAGCAGAGCAGAGCAGAGUAAGAGGGUAUUUUGGACGCAGAUCGAUCGGUCGCGGCCGCUCUCCGGUUCGCGCCAUGUGACCGGUCAAAGACCAGUCUGCAUAGAAAAAGAGGUUAGAAAACUUAUCCGUUGUCUUUACGCGUACGGUGGCCGCGUGGUGUUACGUCCGUUCGUUAAUCGAGAAAAUGAGAGGUGUCGAGUAGCUUGACGUUAUCAGUAGCGCGCGAGCCAGUGAACGAUUCGGUUGUUUCUCAUAAAGUGUGCAUCGGUCGCGUUAGUUGUUAUAGUGGCGGUCUUCGAUGAGCGCGAUCGCGAGGGAAAUGAGAACAACGGAGUUUGCUACGAGAGUGUGUAGUUGUCUCGGGUCAGAUGUAAAAAUAAAAGGAAGCAGACGUGUCUCAAGGCUAUCGCGCCGCAUAUUGUCUCGCCAGGAGCGUAAAAUCACGCGAGAGUCUCCCUGCAUACCGUUUAUUUCAUUCCGCCGAUAUCCUCCGACGUAAGCGCGCGCAUCCUCUUAUCAUCGCUACGCUCGUAUACUUGCACGGUUUACACGCGAGAGUGUUACUAAUAUAACCCGCUCUCCGAGUGGAGCUUUUGUUCAGUGUCACGAGUUUAUUCUUCGUCGCUUGAAAAAAAUCGCGCGCUUUAGAAAGGAAAUAAAUUAGAUCACGGUAGUUUAAGUAAUUAAAUGUCAGCCGAAUAUAAUGUAAAGCGUAUAAUGUGCAUAUAUGAGAUUAUAAUAUUAAUUCCUCUUGUUUUUAUAUUUGUUACUGUAAAAAAAAAAUACAAAAAAAAAAACAGGACGAAUUUGUGUUACAACCCAGUAGUAUAAUACAAUGUAAGGAUUAAUUCCAUCGUUGAUAUAUUGGCAACAACGAAACGUAUUUUUCGUUUGUUUUGCUUUCGAUCUCUUCUCUCGCCGUAUCUCGAUUCCGGUGAGACAAAAAGAACGCGGCAUGGAACAAAUGCAGGGUUCGUCCGUGCAUGAAAUUCUACGAGGUUCGUUCCGAGAAAGAAAUCAGCUCGAAGAAAAAUAAAUAAACGUGUGUUGCUUCUCUGCAUACGUUCGAUACAUUGCUAGCACUUUUUCGAUGAUUCGUUUGCGACAAAACUCCAUUAUCGUAUACAUAUAGCAAAUAUUUAUGUAUUUAAUCGCUUUGGGGCCGAUAGUUAGUAAAAUAUUCGUUUCAAGAAGUACGAUCUACCAAGAUCUAUCUCUUCAUGGAAUCAUAAACUUUGAAAAGCACGUGUGCUCAGGCCACGUGUUCUGUAACGUUACGAAAGAAUUUUCUGUGGGGUCUUGAGUCUUCCUUUAUUCUUUUUCUUCGUAAUACUCAUUCUUGCUUCUUGUUAAUAGCAAGCGGGACACGAAUGGUUUAUUUCUUUUUCCUCCAUUAGGAGGAUGUUAAAACGUUUUCUUUGGGGCUUCAAGUUUUUUUUUUUUUUUUUUUUGUUAAAU